GCUUGGUUAGUGUAGAGGUUAUCACUCCGGAUUUUGAUGCAAAAGAAAAUUCCGGCAACCCCGGUUCGAAUCCGGGAUCGAGCU